UUGUUCUUGUAUUCAUUUGAUUAAUCUAGUUUUUACUAGUUUUUCUUGAAUUUCUUGUUAGAUCUCGAGUCUGUAUUUCUGUAUCCGUGACAAUAGGUAGAAGUAGGAAAAAAUAGAUUAAUUUCAUAAUUUGUUAUAGAGAAGCUUUUAAGAAGCUUUCUAAAUGCUAUUUUGACUUUAUAUAUGUUGUAGUUGAUUG
rnacentral:lncRNA from 1 species